AUGGCCGCGGGAUUGUAGGAUAGAGGCCUACCAUGGUGGUAACGGGUAACGGGGUGUUAGGGCACGACACCGGAGAGGGAGCCUGAGAAACGGCUACCACAUCCAAGGAUGGCAGCAGGCGCGCAAAUUACCCAAUCCCGACACAGGGAGGUAGUGACAAUAAAUAACAAUACGGGGUCCUUUAGGGUUUCGUAAUUGGAAUGAGUACAAUUUAAAUCUCUUAACGAGGAACAAUUGGAGGGCAAGUCUGGUGCCAGCAGCCGCGGUAAUUCCAGCUCCAAUAGCGUAUAUUAAAGUUGUUGCAGUUAAAAAGCUCGUAGUUGAAUUUCGGGAUCAGUACGCUGGCCGUGCCUUCGGUAUGCACUGGUGUCACUGGUUUCUCCCUUCUGAAGAACCAUCAUGCCAUUCAGUUGGUGUGGCGGGAAAUCAGGACUGUUACUUUGAAAAAAUUAGAGUGUUUAAAGCAGGCUCGCGCUUGAAUACAUUAGCAUGGAAUAAUGAAAUAGGACGUUUGACCCUAUUUUGUUGGUUUCUAGGAUCGACGUAAUGAUUAAUAGGGAUAGUUGGGGGCAUUAGUAUUCAAUUGUCAGAGGUGAAAUUCUUGGAUUUAUUGAAGACUAACUACUGCGAAAGCAUUUGCCAAGGAUGUUUUCAUUAAUCAAGAACGAAAGUUAGGGGAUCGAAGACGAUCAGAUACCGUCGUAGUCUUAACCAUAAACUAUGCCGACUAGGGAUCGGAUGAUGUUAAUUUUUUAAUGACUCAUUCGGCGCCUUACGGGAAACCAAAGUGUUUGGGUUC
rnacentral:rRNA from 1 species